GAUGAACGCUGGCGGCGUGCCUAAUACAUGCAAGUCGAGCGAACAGACGAGGAGCUUGCUCCUCUGACGUUAGCGGCGGACGGGUGAGUAACACGUGGAUAACCUACCUAUAAGACUGGGAUAACUUCGGGAAACCGGAGCUCAUACCGGAUCAUAUAUUGAACCGCAUGGUUCAUUAGUGAAAGACGGUUUUGCUGUCCCUUAUAGAUGGAUCCGCGCCGCAUUAGCUAGUUGGUAAGGUAACGGCUUACCAAGGCAACGAUGCGUAGCCGACCUGAGAGGAUGAUCGGCCACACUGGAACUGAGACACGGUCCAGACUCCUACGGGAGGCAGCAGUAGGGAAUCUUCCGCAAAGGGCGAAAGCCUGACGGAGCCACGCCGCGUGAGUGAUGAAGGUCUUCGGAUCGUAAAACUCUGUUAUUAGGGAAGAACAAAUGUGUAAGUAACUAUGCACGUCUUGACGGUACCUAAUCAGAAAGCCACGGCUAACUACGUG
rnacentral:rRNA from 1 species